CUACGGGCGGCACCAGCAACGAAUAUUCCGCAAUGGGCGCAAGCCUGACGGAGCGACGCCGCGUGAGGGAUGAAGUCCUUCGGGAUGUAAACUUCAAUAGUAUGUCAGGAAGUAAAGCAGGUUAAUAUCCUGCUGCGUUGACCAUCAUACGAAAGGGGUGGCUAACUCCGUGCCAGCAGCCGCGGUAAGACGGAGACCCCUAGCGUUGUUCGGAAUUACUGGGCUUAAAGGGCGUGUAGGCGGAGCGGUAAGUACUUUGUGAAAGCCCCGGGCUUAACCCGGGAAUUGCUUGGUAUACUGCCGUUCUUGAGGCAGGCAGGGGUUACUGGAACCUUAGGUGGAGCGGUGAAAUGCGUAGAUAUCUAAGGGAACGCCUGUGGCGAAAGCGGGUAACUGGGCCUGCACUGACGCUGAGACGCGAAAGCGUAGGGAGCGAACGGGAUUAGAUACCCUCGUAGUC
rnacentral:rRNA from 1 species